UUGAAUAUGGUUAAAAGUGAGUUGGAGCCUAGAAAAUAAGCUCCACAUGAGGAGGGGUUGUGAGUAUGUAAUAUGAUGUUUUAUGAUUUUGCAUUAGGUUCUUUAUCUGGGGAUCAAGGCCUCAGUUUGCUUUGUGUUGCUCUUUAUGCACAGUAAACCUAUUCACAUUGAACUCUACCAGCUAGUACAUGUCUUUGAGUCUUUCUCUCAUAAGUUUUGAGUUUAAUGCUAAGUUGUGGGUGACCUGAAGAUUCACCAGCCCUUCUGAAGAUUUCCCACGACACACUCUAUUGACUGCUGGAGGAAAAGGGGUUGGAUCUCUGUUAGAACAGCUUUCUGGCAAAAACCCCCUCAAGGCAGACGUCUCCCAUAUGCACUGGAGUCUCCCAUGAGUUGGAAUCACCAUGCAGAUGUGUAGAUGGAUGUACCACACAAAGAUGGCUGUAUCAGACGGAGAACAGAUAAUACCAACAGAAAACCACUGACUUCAUGAACCGAGAGCAAUGGUAUCAUCUGGUAACUCUGUGUUUUGUAGUUAAUGGGGUAAAACAUGUACAAAUCAUCCAUAGUCAAAUGAAGGCAGGCAGUUUGGAAAGAAGAGAUCCAAUGUCUGACGGAGGAAAACCUCCAGCUUCAAGUACACUGCCUCAGCUCAUAUAUUUCAUUCUAACAACUUAUUUCAGACAAAUUGAGAGCUUUUUGAAAUCAAAACAUGCUCUCUUUAUCUUUUCAGGAGCUCCUGGUGGAAAAGAAGCAGAAGUGGAGCCUCUGGAACUGGAGUCGCAAUAAGUAACAGCAGCAGCGACAACCUCUUCUUCCCUAAACCCCCUCCCCCUCCUCACCCCUCUACCCUUCCUAUCCCCAAUGUUACCCUUACCCCUUCCUCCUACUCCCUAACCUCUACCCCCUAUCUCUACCCUUUCUUUCAUUAAAAUUCACUAACUGUGACUGUCAUUAAUUACUGUUUUUGAAUGUAACUGUGAUGUUUCUCUUUCACAUGCUGUCACACAUCAAGUAAACUAAGCUGCUUGGUGAGUAGGACUAAAUACCUGCAAAUUAGUGACAUUAGCACUACCUGCCUCGGGUAGUGCUAAUUAGCAAAUGUUUGCAUGCUAAAAUUGUUAACCAACACAGUGAACAUAGUUAACAUUAUACCUGAACAUCAAUAUGCUAGCAUUAUAACUGUGCACAUUUAUCUCAAGUACAGCC